GCUCCGCGUUCUCCAUUUUGGGCCACCCAUGGUGGGGGGGAGGUCUCAGUAGAGGCCCCGAGGGAGAGUGGGGCGAGGGAAAGAAGAGAAAAUCUUCAGCGAGGGUAGUCGAAAAGAAGAGUCCUGCGGUACAAAACCUCUGUAGGAGUAGGAGCUUCCUGGCCCUUUGACUGCCAGGCUGUAUCUACGCGGGGGAGAUAAACUCGGGGAGAGCCUGUCCCCUCCGAAGCGCCGCUCUUCCUAGGACAGGAAGAAGUGACCUAUUACAGUGUCUCCAUUGCUGUUAUAGAAGUUCCCAGAUUCAUAACAAUCGUUGUUUAGUUAAGA